UUUUAUAUAGUUUAAUAAAAACAUUAUACUUUCACUGGAAAAUUAAAUAUUUAUUUUAUAAAUAUCU
rnacentral:tRNA from 1 species